GACGAACGCUGGCGGCGUGCUUAACACAUGCAAGUCGAACGGAAAGGCCCUGCUUUUGUGGGGUGCUCGAGUGGCGAACGGGUGAGUAACACGUGAGUAACCUGCCCUUGACUUUGGGAUAACUUCAGGAAACUGGGGCUAAUACCGGAUAGGAGCUCCUGCUGCAUGGUGGGGGUUGGAAAGUUUCGGCGGUUGGGGCUGGACGCGCGGCUUAUCAGCUUGUUGGUGGGGGAGUGGCUUACCAAGGCGUUGACGGGUAGCCGGCCUGAGAGGGUGACCGGCCACAAUGGGACUGCGAUACGGCCCAGACUCCUACGGGAGGCAGCAGUGGGGAUUAUUGCACAAUGGGCGGAAGCCUGAUGCAGCAACGCCGCGUGCGGGAUGACGGCCUUCGGGUUGUAAACCGCUUUCGCCUGUGACGAAGCGUGAGUGACGGUAAUGGGUAAAGAAGCACCGGCUAACUACGUG
rnacentral:rRNA from 1 species